ACGCAGCUUUCAGUACAAUUCCCGCUUUCUUCUGUGCGAUUCGCUGAUACGUCUGACAAACCGUCCUCUGAUUGGAUAGUCUAAAGGGCGGGAUGUUAUAUGGACCAAUCAUAACACAAAAGACCGGAUUGCAGAAGGAAACAUGUGCCAGAUGCCUAUCAGCCGGAAAACGACACGUCACCGUUGACGUUUUACAGCGGUCAGCAUCGCUCUCGUCACUCAGGGGGAACUCUCUACACUCACGCUGUGUGUUGUAACUCUUUACGUCCAUGGGACACUCCUGGUUUAAAAUCGCCUGCAGGAAAAAUAUCACAUGAAUAAGCAUAGCCUAAA